GUCUACCGUCAUACCACCCUGAACGUGCACGAUCUCAUCUGAUCUCAGAAGUUAAGCAGGGUCGGACCUAGGUGGGAGAAAUGGCAGGAACUGCAGAAAGGGUAACUGUUGAAA
rnacentral:rRNA from 1 species